AUGCCUCAUUUAUCUUUGCCAAUCAGUUUUAUAUCAUUGGACCAAAAAUGUCUUCAUUGCAAAUUAGAAAAAUAUAUUUUGGUUCACAAAGAAAAUAACCCAUUGUCAAGAAAAAUCAGCCUGCAUUACUGUAAAAAAGGGACAAACACAAGAGGCCAAAAUACUGUCAAAACAGUUUGCAUUAAAACAGUCCAAAAAACUGCAUUGCUGCUCUGUAAAAGCUAUACCAAGACAGUCCAAAGAUGA